UACGUAGGGGGCGAGCGUUGUCCGGAUUUACUGGGCGUAAAGGGUGAGUAGGCGGUUAAUUAAGUCAGAUGUAAAAGGCAUAGGCUCAACUUAUGUAAGCAUCUGAUACUGGUUAACUUGAGUGCAGGAGAGGUAAGUGGAAUUCCUAGUGUAGCGGUGAAAUGCGUAGAUAUUAGGAGGAACACCAGUGGCGAAGGCGACUUACUGGACUGUAACUGACGCUGAGUCACGAAAGCGUGGGUAGCAAACA
rnacentral:rRNA from 1 species